UUAUUUUAUUCUACGCGUUCUCUCUAAACAACGCAGGAGAAGGUUACGUAACGAUAUUCUCCACGUUCUCUCUAAACAACACAGGAGAAGGUUACGUAACGAUAUUCUCCACGUUCUCUCUAAACAACACAGGAGAAGGUUACGUAACGAUAUUCUCCACGUUCUCUCUAAACAACACAGGAGAAGGUUACGUAACGAUAUUCUCCACGUUCUCUCUAAACAACACAGGAGAAGGUUACGUAACGAUAUUCUCCACGUUCUCUCUUUCAUGAUUCCUCCGUCUGCACGUUAGAACAAGACGUAUGUAAGCAGAUUCCUCUCAUCGGAGAAACAUUUUGGUUUUCAUUCUUUUUUCUUUUAUCUCUCUAGAGAUGCUUUCCAAAUGAAAUCCUGGGCCCUGGUUUAAAAGUAUUGCAUUGAAUUAGACAUAGGGUUCCAUUUGGGAAACGUCCUAGGAUAUUUUCUCAGUUGACUGGACUGAAAGCAGAGUACACAGUCAGGACAUUUCACUUUACCGUACUAAAUAUGGGAGUUAUACAGGCUCUUUGAAGAUUCAAACAGACCUUAAAUUAUUGUUAUUCUAGCCGAAUCAUAAUGAUGAGUUUUUAAUACAAUAGUAUGUCAAGUGUCUUGUUCCUCAGCGCUCCUCCCCAGUCUGCCGACUCGUAUGAAGGAUUUUGAACCCAGAAACCACAGAAUCAAAAGAUGCUU
rnacentral:lncRNA from 1 species